rnacentral:misc_RNA from 1 species
AGGCAAUUCCAAACAAACAAUAAUUUUAUUUUGGCCUAAUGUUAAAGCUUUGUACUGUGUUCAUACUGAAUUUUGGUAGGAAACGUUUAAUGAUAAUUAAAACAGUUAGCAUUACAGAUAUUAGUGCAUUUGCCACUGUUGAUUUGGUGAAAAUCUCUUAUAUACAUGUAAGAAGUAAACAAGAAUGAUAAGUUUACCAGUCAUUCAUUUUAUAGCAUUUCAUCACUGUAUCUAUACCUUCAUUUAAGAUUUGUAACUUGCUUGAGCCAAAUGGCUCAUGUGAGUCUUUUGAUAGAAAUUUUUAAUUGCAAAGACAUCAUAAACUUUACAUAUUUUCUUUUAUUUUAAAACUGUUGGUCAAUUUUAUUGAGACAUGACUUACAGUACCGUUAGGUAAAGAGGAUUUAAGCUGGUUAAGUUAAUUUAAAUGAACAACACACCUUGAAAGACCUAUCACAUUCUAAUGUACAUUGAAGUUUGUUUGCUAAAAUUGUGACUCUUGGACCAAUAAUACGGCCGCAGAAAGGAUGCUAAGUUCAAUUCAGAAUAUAGGGGGGAUUUAAAAUAAAAAUGUUGAGUAACAUUGGCUUUGAACCUCAAAAAUAUCAAGGAAUAUUUAUUUGUAUGUUAAAGAUUAAGUUUUGUCGAAAUCAUGACUCCAGCAUUAAGCUACAAUUUGAUAUAUGUAAGAAAACCAAAAAGGGAAACGGAAGUCAAUCUUAGUACUGUUGUUCAUGUGAGUAACAUGUCCUCUUGAAUGGUGCACUUUUUUCAUUGUAAAUACCACUGUGACAGAUUUUUCUUAUAUUUGCUUCAUUGUUUAAAGUCAUCACCAGCAUGUUUAAAAUUUGUUUGUGUUGACAUAUUAUAAUUCACUCAAGGAUAUUACUGAGAAAUGACAAAGAAAGAUUCACUGUAGUAAUAUAGUUACACUGUAAUGUAGUCCACCAAAAAUUAACAUGUUUAGGAUUAGAUGUGCCAAGUCCCAAUGAAAUGGCAGAGCAAUGUUAGUUAGAAUUUGACUGAUUAGGUUUUACUUAUUCCCAACAUAGAUCUAACACAGAGAAAGUGGAUCACUGAGGAGAAGGAAAGAAGGGCUAUAAUAAGUAUUUGUAUGUAGAUCAUAAAAAUACCAUACAUAAUUUGCUUUGUACAUUGUGAGAAUGAAAGAAUUUUUUUCUUGUUAAUGUUAUGUGUUCAUUUAAAAAGUACUCAAGGAAAAAAAAAUCCCUUAUAACUUACACUGGGCAGAAGAAAUGAUGGGAUUUUGUUGAUAUUCUUUUUGAAUUGAUUUACCGUAUUUAAAAAAUUUCACAUCUAAAUGGGCCUAAAAAUUGAUAUAUUUUGUGGUAAAUAGAAAUAGAAAGUAGAACUGUGUAUUACUUAAAAAAAAUGUAGUAGUGGAUAAAAUAAGGGUGAAACUAUUGAUGCUCUACACUGAAUUUUUUUAUGUGAUAGAUAGAGAGCAAGUUGGAUGAUCUUAGCAUUAUAGAAAUGAUGUUUGAACUCUCUUUCUGCUGAUGUACGUAGUCUUUGAUUGUUUUUGAUGAUUUUUCACAAUUCUUUGUAGAACAUAAAUUCUGAAAUAUAUACGGUUAGUAUACUAUAGUAUUUACAAGAUUGUCCUACUAUAUAGUACUGUAUUCUGUGUGAAAAAAAAUUAUUGUCUGUAAAUUUAGUGAUGAUUUUCUAUGUGGCUUCAUUUUGCCGUAAUUUUAUCACACCUCUAAGUCAAAAUGAUCUUAGGAUUACUAGAUGAUUAUUUAGGAUAGGGAAACUCUCAUUGAUUUUAUAUUAAUUUACUUUGAAUUAGGAACAAUACCAAUCCAAUCAUGUGAUGUAAAUAUUUGAUUGAAAUGUCAUGUUUUGAAUAUAAUUGUAAUCUUCAUGAAUCCAUAGUUUUUUUGUCACCACCAUUUAAUACUGUAUGAUGCUACUCAAUCUCCUCAUAGACUGCAAUCCACUUGAGGAGUAAAUUGUUUCGAUAUUGUUAAUAAAAUAAUAAUUAUUCCUGAAUACUUCUGAUUAC